rnacentral:rRNA from 1 species
AGCAUAUCAAUAAGCGGAGGAAAAGAAACCAACAGGGAUUGCCUUAGUAGCGGCGAGCGAACAGGCAAGAGCUCAGAUUUGAAAGCCCUCGGGCAUUGUAUUCUGAAGCCUUGGUCCUGAGAAUAGGUGUUUAAGUCUUCUGGAAAGGAGCGCCAUGGAGGGUGAUAGCCCCGUACGACACCACUCUCAUUGUAGGACUUUGGCAUGGAGUCGAGUUGUUUGGGAAUGCAGCUCAAAUGGGUGGUAUGCUCCAUCUAAAGCUAAAUAUCUGCGAGAGACCGAUAGCGAACAAGUACUGUGAAGGAAAGAUGAAAAGAACUUUGAAAAGAGAGUGAAAAAGUACGUGAAAUUGUUGAAAUGGAAGGAUAGGC